AGAGUUUGAUCAUGGCUCAGAACGAACGCUGGUGGCGUGCUUAACACAUGCAAGUCGAACGAGAAAGUUUCCUUCGGGAAAUUAGUAAAGUGGCGCAAGGGUGAGUAUCACGUGAAUAAUCUGCCCUCGAGAUCGGGAUAACAUGGUGAAAACUAUGCUAAUACCGGAUAAGACCACAUUUCAUAAGAAAUGCGGUAAAAGGAGUCUCAAUCUUCACUCGAGGAUGAGUUCGCGCAACAUUAGCUUGUUGGUGAGAUAAAAGCUCACCAAGGCUACGAUGUUUAGCCGGCCUGAGAGGGUGAACGGCCACACUGGAACUGAGACACGGUCCAGACUCCUACGGGAGGCAGCAGUGGGGAAUAUUGCGCAAUGGGCGAAAGCCUGACGCAGCAACGCCGUGUGAGCGAUGAAGGCUUUAGAGUCGUAAAGCUCUGUCAAAUGGGAAGAAUUUUGACGGUACCAUU
rnacentral:rRNA from 1 species